AUUGAACGCUGGCGGCAGGCCUAACACAUGCAAGUCGAACGGCAGCACAGAACUUGCUCCUGGAUUCGGCGGCGGACGGGUGGGUGGUGCCUAGGAAUCUGCCUGGUUGUGGGGGCUAACGUCCGAACACGGGCGCUCUUACGCCAUUAGUGCAGAGGACGAAAGGGGGAAAGCAUCGGAUCUCCCGCUCUCGCAUGAGCCUAGGUCGGAUUAGCUAGUUGGUGGGGUAAAGGCCUACCAAGGCGACGAUCCGUAACUGGUCUGAGAGGAUGAUCAGCCACACUGGAACUGAGACACGGUCCAGACUCCUACGGGAGGCAGCAGUGGGGAAUAUUGGACAAUGGGCGAAAGCCUGAUCCAGCCAUGCCGCGUGUGUGAAGAAGGCCUUCGGAUUGUAAAGCACUUUAGGUGGGGAGGAAGGGCAGUAAGUUAAUACCCUGCUGUUUUGACGUUACCAACAGAAUAAGCACCGGCUAACUUCGUG
rnacentral:rRNA from 1 species